rnacentral:tmRNA from 1 species
GGGCCUGUACUGGUUUCGACGGGCGGUCCAACUUAAUGCUGCAUGCCGGGGAUGUGGGUUGGCCCCGUUAAAAAACCCGCACGGCUUUAAAUGCCGACAAUUAUGAUUACGCCGUAGCAGCUUAAUAACCUGUUACCGUCCGCCCGCGCUCUUCUCGGAGGUUAGGAACGGACGUCAUUUAUUCGAGAUAGUUUUUCCGUUUGCCUUUGGCGGUUAAGCGAAAACAAAGAAGGAUCGCGGCGAUAGUAUCCCGUUCAGUGGAGACGACAGCUGCUAAAACCUAAAUACUGAAACAAGCAUGUAGAUGUAUUAAGGUAAAUUGUUCGGACGCGGGUUCGACUCCCGCCAGGUCCACCA